UAUGUAGGGUGCAAGCGUUAAUCGGAAUUACUGGGCGUAAAGCGUGCGCAGGCGGUUGUGCAAGACAGAUGUGAAAUCCCCGGGCUUAACCUGGGAACUGCAUUUGUGACUGCACGGCUAGAGUGUGUCAGAGGGGGGUAGAAUUCCACGUGUAGCAGUGAAAUGCGUAGAUAUGUGGAGGAACACCGAUGGCGAAGGCAAUCCCCUGGGCCUGCACUGACGCUCAUGCACGAAAGCGUGGGGAGCAAACAGG
rnacentral:rRNA from 1 species